GUCUAAUUCUUUUUCAGCACAACAGUUUUCAGCUGUGCUAACAUAAUUGCAAAUGUUGUUUUUUGCCUUUUUAAAUGAUUAACUUGGAUUAGUUAACACAACGUGCCAUUGGAACACAGGAAUGAUGGUUACUGAUAAUGGGCCUCUGUACGUCUAUGUAGAUAUUCCAUUAAAAACCUGCCGUUUCCAGCUACAAUAGUCAUUUACAACAUUAUCAAUGUCUACACUUUAUUUCUGAUCAAUUUGAUGUUAUUUUAAUUGGCAAAAACUGUGCUUUUCUUUCAAAAACAAGGACAUUUCGAAGUGACCCUAAACUUUUGAACGGUAGUGUACGUAUUCAGACCCUUUCCUCAGUACUUUGUUGAAGCACCUUGGGUAGCAGUCUUCUUGGGUAUGACGCUACAAGCAUGGCACACUUGUAUUUGGGGAGUUUCUCCCCUUCUUCUCUGCAGAUUUUCGUCAAACCCUUUUUUCACUUUGUCAUUAUGGGCUAUUGUGUGUAGAUUGCUGAAGAUUUUUAUUGAUUUAAUCGAUUUUAGGAUGAGGCUGUAAUGUAACAAAAUGUGGGUCUGAAUACUUUCCGAAGGCACUGUAUGUAAUGUGGAAUUGAUAAAAAAAUAUAUAAAUGAAAGUGCAUACAAUUCACACAAUGAAACACUGAAUCGGCAAGAAUUGUCGGGAGACCACUGCUCCAUUCUGUAUAGAGACUCCCCUAGGCCUUCACCACGUACCCCUCCCCUUCUUCUUGUCUCAACAUUUUAAAUUAUAUAAUCACAUUAUCUAAACACAUGCUGUAUUUGACAUGCUUUUCACUGACAGCUGCAACUCAAUCAGCUAGGCCUAUUGCCACACGCGUUUUCCCAGGUGCGCUGUUUAGGGUGGUGUUUUCCCAGGUACGCUGUUUAUAAUGGUGUUUUCCCAGGUGCGCUGUUUAGGAUGGUGUUUACACAGGUACGCUGUUUAGAAUGGUGUUUUCACAGGUGCACUGUUUAGGAUGGUGUUUUCACAGGUGCGCUGUUUAGAAUGGUGUUUUCACAGGUGCGCUGUUUAGGAUGGUGUUUUCCCAGGUGCGCUGUUUAGGAUGGUGUUUUCCCAGGUGCGCUGUUUAGAAUGGUGUUUUCCCAGGUGCGCUGUUUAGGAUGGUGUUUUCCCAGGUGCGCUGUUUAGGAUGGUGUUUUCCCAGGUGCGCUGUUUAGGAUGGUGUUUUCCCAGGUGCGCUGUUUAGGAUGGUGUUUUCCCAGGUGCGCUGUUUAGGAUGGUGUUUUCCCAGGUGCGCUGUUUAGAAUGGUGUUUUCCCAGGUGCGCUGUUUAGGAUGGUGUUUUCCCAGGUGCGCUGUUUAGAAUGGUGUUUUCCCAGGUGCGCUGUUUAGGAUGGUGUUUUCCCAGGUGCGCUGUUUAGGAUGGUGUUUUCCCAGGUGCGCUGUUUAGGAUGGUGUUUUCCCAGGUGCGCUGUUUAGGAUGGUGUUUUCCCAGGGACGCUGUUUAGGAUGGCGUUUUCCCAGGUGCGCUGUUUAGGAUGGCGUUUUCCCAGGUGCACUGUUUAGAAUGGCGUUUUCCCAGGUGCACUGUUUAGAAUGGCG